GGAGGAGUGGCUGAGUGGUUGAAGGCGCCGGUCUUGAAAAUCGGUAAUAUUUUUUAGUAUUCUAGAGUUCGAAUCUCUACUCCUCCG
rnacentral:tRNA from 1 species